rnacentral:rRNA from 1 species
UACGAAGGACCCGAGCGUUAUCCGGAUUCAUUGGGUUUAAAGGGUGCGUAGGCGGAAUGAUAAGUCAGUGGUGAAAUCCUGCAGCUUAACUGCAGAACUGCCAUUGAUACUGUUGUUCUUGAAUGCAACUGAUGUGGGCGGAAUGUGCCAUGUAGUGGUGAAAUACUUAGAUAUGGCACAGAACACCGAUUGCGAAGGCAGCUCACAAAAUUGUUAUUGACGCUGAUGCACGAAAGCGUGGGGAGCGAACAGG